rnacentral:rRNA from 1 species
UACGUAGGGUGCGAGCGUUGUCCGGAUUUAUUGGGCGUAAAGAGCUCGUAGGCGGUUUGUCGCGUCGGCCGUGAAAUCUCCACGCUUAACGUGGAGCGUGCGGUCGAUACGGGCAGACUUGAGUUCGGUAGGGGAGACUGGAAUUCCUGGUGUAGCGGUGAAAUGCGCAGAUAUCGAGAGGAACACCUGCGGCGAAGGCGGGUAGCUGGGCCGACACUGACGCUGAGGCGCGAAAGCCAGGGGAGCGAACGGG